UCGGCUAUGCGUUUUAAUUUUUGACUCUAUUUGUUGUGGUGCUAUGAGUUUUUAGUUUGUUUUUAUGUUGUUUUUUGUAAAAUAUUUUGAUUUUUUUUUAGUUUCUUGUGGUAUCAAAAAUUUGUUUUUUGAACUGGAUUAGUACCCAGGUAAUCAAAAUUUAAUAAUUCGGGAGUAAAGUUUUGUUUAAACCGAAAAAAUAUUGACUGACUUUAGAUUUUUCUUUGGAACAUGUGAUUUGCUGGAGAGCCCUCUUUUUUGGUGAAUUUUGUUGGCACAUGUAUGAUUGUUUAGUUUUUAUUUUAUUUUGUAAUGCUUUGUUGUUUUGGCAUUAAAAACAGAUAUAUAUUUGGCUUAUGAAUUUAUGUUUCAUGUGUUACUAUUAUGAAUUUUUUUUGGGUUAGUUUUUUAUUUUUUUUUGAAAUUGGAAAAGAAAGUAAUUUUUUUUUAAUGUUUUAAUGAAUUUAAUAAAUAAGGUGGUACAAACCAUCCGUCAAUGGCCUAAAGGGGCGUAAGUUG
rnacentral:ncRNA from 1 species